GGUCAGUGAUGAGACCUGAAAUGUAUCUGAAUCUAUUGCUGAUGUGGUUUUCACACUUAGCUCUAGAAUUACUCUGAGACCUG